rnacentral:rRNA from 1 species
AUUGAACGCUGGCGGCAGGCUUAACACAUGCAAGUCGAACGGAGUGGGGACGGGUGAGUAACACGUGGGUAACCUCCCAUCAGAGGGGAUAACACUUGGAAACAGGUGCUAAACCGAUACUGAUGGAUGGACCCGCGGUGCAUUAGGUAGUUGGUGAGGUAACGGCUCACCAAGGCCACGAUGCAUAGCCGACCUGGGAGGGUGAUCGGCCACACUGGGACUGAGACACGGCCCAGACUCCUACGGGAGGCAGCAGUGGGGAAUCUUCGGCAAUGGACGAAAGUCUGACCGAGCAACGCCGCGUGAGUGAAGAAGGUUUUCGGAUCGUAAAACUCUGUUGUCAGAGAAGCGGUAUCUAACCAGAAAGCCACGGCUAACUACGUGCCAGCCGCCGCGGUAAUAC